rnacentral:rRNA from 1 species
AUUGAACGCUGGCGGAAUGCUUUACACAUGCAAGUCGAACGGUAGAGGGGGCAACCCCUUGAGAGUGGCGAACGGGUGAGUAAUAUAUCGGAACGUGCCCAGUCGUGGGGAUAACGUAGCGAAAGUUACGCUAAUACCGCAUACGAUCUAUGGAUGAAAGCGGGGGAUCGCAAGACCUCGCGCGAUUGGAGCGGCCGAUAUCAGAUUAGGUAGUUGGUGAGGUAAAGGCUCACCAAGCCGACGAUCUGUAGCUGGUCUGAGAGGACGACCAGCCACACUGGGACUGAGACACGGCCCAGACUCCUACGGGAGGCAGCAGUGGGGAAUUUUGGACAAUGGGCGAAAGCCUGAUCCAGCAAUGCCGCGUGAGUGAUGAAGGCCUUAGGGUUGUAAAGCUCUUUUACCAGGGAUGAUAAUGACAGUACCUGGAGAAUAAGCUCCGGCUAACUCCGUGCCAGCAGCCGCGGUAAA